UUACUUUCAGAUCAAUGAUAUUGUGAACAUAUUAUGCUUUUUGACACAAGUAAAUUUUAAAUUUCCACACAAAAAAUUAAUAUUAUCCUAAUGUUUUAUCAUCUUUAGCAAUAUUAUAACUGGUACAGCAUAUGGCGCGAUGUCGUCGGAGGCGGAGGCGAACAGCCAGGACCGCGUGUCGGUCGAAGUGCGGAACAUUUAAGCGGUGCCGCUAUUGUGAUAGACGAUACAGGGUGCGCCUGCCGCGGCGGAGACCACGUCGUCGUCGCAGGUCAUGCUCCAGGCGUAGACGAAGACGCUGCAGGUCCCGGUCGAUUUGCUUCGAGUAAAUACCGCGACGAAGAGAAAUCAUUAGUCGCGGACAAUUUCUUCAGAAACAGACAUUGAGUUUUAGGUGUGCGCGUGCUCUAAGUGAACUAAGGCGAAGUUACCGCUGCCCAUAGACAUCCGCAUUUGUAGAUGCGUUGCCUCUCUUUAAUCAUCAGAAGAGGGGAAGUACAGAAAGACAUUUCCCCGACUUAUGCGUCUCAUCUC